rnacentral:rRNA from 1 species
UACGAAGGGGGCUAGCGUUGCUCGGAAUUACUGGGCGUAAAGCGCACGUAGGCGGCUUCUUAAGUCGGUGGUGAAAUCCUGGAGCUCAACUCCAGAACUGCCUUCGAUACUGGGAAGCUCGAGUCCGGGAGAGGUGAGUGGAACUGCGAGUGUAGAGGUGAAACUCGUAGAUAUUCGCAAGAACACCAGUGGCGAAGGCGGCUCACUGGCCCGGUACUGACGCUGAGGUGCGAAAGCGUGGGGAGCAAACAGG